rnacentral:rRNA from 1 species
UACGAAGGGGGCUAGCGUUGUUCGGAUUUACUGGGCGUAAAGCGCACGUAGGCGGACUAUUAAGUCAGGGGUGAAAUCCCGGGGCUCAACCCCGGAACUGCCUUUGAUACUGGUAGUCUUGAGUUCGAGAGAGGUGAGUGGAAUUCCGAGUGUAGAGGUGAAAUUCGUAGAUAUUCGGAGGAACACCAGUGGCGAAGGCGGCUCACUGGCUCGAUGCUGACGCUGAGGUGCGAAAGCGUGGGGAGCAAACAGG